CUUGAUCAUAUAAAAAAAUAAAAUUUUAAAUUUAAAUUUGAAAUUUGAAUUUAAAUUUUAAUUCGAAUUUCUUUUUAUUUUGAGGGGUUGUGGGCGGUUUCGGUGUGGUAUACAACGCGCGAGUUUUGUAUUUAAAUUUAAAGUUUGAAUUUAAAUUGAAAUUAAAGGACUAAUUGUACCAUUUGUACCAACUUUUGUACAAUUUGUAUUUUCGUCUCUAUUUUUUUUUUUUCUUGCAAACACAAUUUGGAAUGUUUUUGAGUAUGACUAAACACUAAACACCGAAUCCCGGGCAUGGUGUGCGGUUGCGGUGUAAGAUUGCGGGUGUGUGUGGAUGGACAGCAGGUGCGGGCUUAUGUGAGUGGCUAAAAUGAGAUGCGGG
rnacentral:lncRNA from 1 species